AGCAAUAGCAGUGAGCAAAUUAGGUACCAAGAUCCUGGUUUUUAAAUUCCAUUUUCUAGUAAAAGAAACCAUCAUCUCUUGGAGAAAUGGUAGAUUCCAGGACAGAGAAGGGAGAACAUAAGAUGAGUUGCAAGCAUCUUUUUGUGCCAGAAAGUAAGAAAAUUGUCAUUCAUUUCCAAAGGACAGAGGGCCACCAUCGAAUCUGGACCCAGAAGGUUCACUGGAAACAACUUCUAAGAAGAUGCUUAGCAUACAAGAAGAUUUUUAGGGGCUGCUGUCUGGAACAAAAGCCAUUAAAGGAUAAGCAAAGCAAGAUUGGACAGAGGAAGAAGUUAAGCUGAAAUACAUUGUACACAGAGGGUCAGCCCAUCCCUCUGGCAGCUCUGAAGCUGACCUUCAAAGCUGUCUCACAUGGAAGCAAAGAGUCUAAGAUUUUUACUCCCUCAACACCCACUCAGUGGACCUGGCUGUCCCAGGGAGUGAAACAUUUCCUUGAAUGAAGCAGCUCCCUUUUGCCAAGGGAAACCCGGGGAGGUCACUGUGCUGCGAACACUCAGGGUGGCCCUCCCAGAAAUUGAGAAAAACGGGUGCCUCCACCCUCCCAGCAACUGAGAAAGCAGAUGCCCCCACCGCAAAGGGUGCAUUGGGGGCUGCAUUCACUACAAUUUUUCAAAAUAAAAUGGAUAAACUGAGGGAAAAUAUUUGAUACACAUAUACUUAAUAUAACUAAUUACAUUAAGACAUGGUGGAAGAAAUAUGAAAAAAUGUAAAGUGUAAAAACAAAGAAAAUUAAAAAAUAUAAAAUUGUAUUAAAUAGAAUAAUAAAAUAUAUCUUUUUUUCAUGUAUCUUAUAUAACCGUUGAAAAAUUCAUUCAUAGGCAACGUUAGCACACAUGUUGCACGUUUGGUAAUUUUGAUAAAAUUAACUACUAUCUCUAGUAAUAAGCAUACAGAAUAUUUUAUUUUCUCCAUCUUAGAUUGUCAUAGAUUUAUUUUGACUUUUGACCAAAAUUUGAAAAACAAAUAGCUGUUCAUGACUUAAAGUGAUGAAACUUUCUUUAAUUCUAUAUAUCUUUAAUGAAUGUAUAAGUUCUGUAUUAUUCAAUAAAAUUUUGU
rnacentral:lncRNA from 10 species